CGGGGUAUAGCACAGUUUGGUAGUGCGCUCGGUUCGGGACCGAGAGGCCACAGGUUCAAGUCCUGUUACCCCGA
rnacentral:tRNA from 1 species